rnacentral:rRNA from 1 species
GUGCCAGCAGCCGCGGUAAUACGUAGGGGGCGAGCGUUGUCCGGAUUUAUUGGGCGUAAAGAGCUCGUAGGCGGUUCAACAAGUCGGUCGUGAAAGUUCAGGGCUCAACCCUGAAAUGUCGAUCGAUACUGUUGUGGCUAGGAUACGGUAGAGGUGAGUGGAAUUCCGAGUGUAGCGGUGAAAUGCGUAGAUAUUAUGAAGAAUACCAGUGGCGAAGGCGGCCUCCUGGAUCUGUACUGACACUGAGGUGCGAAAGCGUGGGUAGCGAACAGGAUUAGAUA